rnacentral:rRNA from 1 species
GACGAACGCUGGCGGCGUGCUUAACACAUGCAAGUCGAACGAUGAACCCGGAGCUUGCUCCGGUGGAUUAGUGGCGAACGGGUGAGUAACACGUGAGUAACCUGCCCUUGACUCUGGGAUAACUGCGGGAAACUGUAGCUAAUACCGGAUACGACCCUCGGCGGCAUCGCCAGGGGGUGGAAAGAAUUUCGGUCAAGGAUGGACUCGCGGCCUAUCAGCUAGUUGGUGAGGUAACGGCUCACCAAGGCAACGAUGCGUAGCCGACCUGAGAGGGUGAUCGGCCCCACUGGGACUGAGACACGGCCCAGACUCCUACGGGAGGCAGCAGUAGGGAAUAUUGCACAAUGGGCGCAAGCCUGAUGCAGCGACGCCGCGUGAGGGAUGAAGGUCUUCGGAUUGUAAACCUCUUUCAGUAGGGACGAAGCGAAAGUGACGGUACCUAAAGAAGAAGCACCGGCUAACUACGUGCCAGCCGCCGCGGUAA